rnacentral:lncRNA from 1 species
CCUGAAUUGCAGGCAUUUCUUCAGUCCUAAACAGAAAAUGCUAGCAUGCCUUGCUACUUUAAGUGGAGGACGAGAGCUUGAUAAUCAUUCCUGGAAUAGUUCACAGAACAAAAUAUUAGAUGGGAAGUUAACUGACGCAGAGGAGAGAGGACCAAAUGGUGAAGUGGUAACAUCACUAUCUACAGAACAACCACCAUGCUGCUAGUGGAUACUGCAAGAAGAGAGAAGCAACAGGAACUAAAGAAAAACAGAAACAUUUUGUGAAGUCUGAUGUGUCCAGAAAAAGGGUUCCUAGGAAUUUCUUGCAGGAUAACUGACUGCUGCAGAAAGAAUACCAGGAAAACGGCUGGACACCAGAACUUCCUUCAGUACUUGCUACACUGGAAAUAGUACAGGUUGGGUCCUACACUGCAACCUAAAAGGAUGUGGGAUCAUGUUGAUUAAUCUGCCAAAGGAUUUGAUCUGGUAUCUUCCAUCAAUGGAGCACGUAAUUGCUGUUUUCUCAUCUUUCUUCUUUUGAAGAAGUAUUAUCGAAAACAGGAUUCAGGGGACAGACAGAUCUGAUUCCAACUCUCAUCUUGCACCACUUAUGGGAUAGGAAGCAUGGUACAUAUUAGGUUUUCCCCUUAAAAUAAACAUAUGAUUAACAUACUACCUGUGAAGCACAGGGCCUGGCAGUGUGUGCAAGUGACAAAUAAAGAAUGGCUAUUACCAUUGUUGUUAUUAUAGAAGACUCAAGGCUUUGUCAAACACAUGUUAUAAAAGGUCAAUGAAGACAGUAGCAUCUUCCUAAUUUACUAAUCUCAAUUGCCAAACCAGCCACAGGAAGUACCCUCUUCAAAUACUGGGGACUUUUUUGAAAGCUAAUGCAAGUCUAAAUACUCAUAUUUCAUCAGACUAUUACUUCAUAAGAUUUAGUAAGGAUGGCAGUAACUCCUAAGAUGAUCAGAGAUGAGUGUCAGCUAUGGACUUAGAACUCCAUUAUUCCUAAAGAUAAAACGCUGUUCAAUUCAAGCCCCAUGCCAGAGAUUACAUAAGAAUUCCUGGAUAACUAUUUUGUUUAUUUUUUAAAAAUAAAUUCUCUGCUGGCAAAACUUUUUUUUAGUAAAAUUAUCUUUAGUUCUUAUUAGCAACAUUCUCUUUACAGAAAUGAAGUAUGUUUUUUAAAAAUCUUGAAAACCAAAUGUUUUAUUUGACAGACACGUUUUAUGAUCUUUUCAAAAACCCAUUCUCAUCCGUCAUUUUCUGUUUAUAAAAGCAAGUACCUCUGGCUGCCUACCCAACAUCCCCUCUCCAUUAAACAUUUGCCAGCAAAGGCCCAAAUCAGUUAGGGCACCCAUCCCCUCAUGUGCAUCAAGGGGUGGUGGCCCUCAGUUCAGACUCGAAUGUUGAAUCCUGAAUUGGACCAUUGCUGCAAGUCCAAAUUCCCUAGUGACUGAGCUGAGCCUGUGAAGCAGUUCUGACUGUGAGACUCAGGGAAGAACUGAUAUUGGAGGUGGCCAUGUGAUAUUGGGAGCCUGUUAGAAGGGCUCUGGGGAAGUUUUCCUUGCUCCCAAGAAGAAAACACUGCAAGAGAGAGACCUUUUUGUCUCUAGUCUGGCUGCAUAUGGCUGUGGAGCUGGAAGCCCUGUGGCGGGCUUGCUAAGGGCCUAAGGCAACAGGAUCCCAAAGAGGCUGCAGCCAGGGCCCUGAGCUGACAUCUGGAGCCUUCCCUACCACUGGACUGCUCCAUACAUGAAGGAAUGCAUUUUCUUCUUGCUGAAACCAAUUAGAAGUGGGUGUUUCUGCUACCAGCAGCCUGCUGAAACACCGUUUCAUAGAUGAUUAUUAAUUUUAUUUUAAUCUAGUAUUACAGCUGAAAGUUUAUUUUGAUAAAUGACAUCACAUUUGCACAAAUGAAUAAACAGAUGACCUUUCCCCUUUUAUUUACUCCUUUUCAUCAUAAGUGUAAUAUAUACUCCCUUCUGAAAAAUCACUUUUAAAUUUCAUAAAUGAACUGACUGAAGUCUGAGAUUUCCAAAAACUAGUGUCUUCAUUUUUAUUAAACUUACAUCUACUCUGGUUUGGCAGUUAUUUACAAAAGCUAAGGAAAACUCCAUGACUACAUAAGCCCAUAGUAUUCUUGAUAAGAAGAAGGUUGGAAAGAUUUAUUGCAACCUCUGAGCUGUGCUUUCAUUCUGUAGGUAUUCAGUGCCUCAUGGAAUUGGAGGAUUCUUGUUGAAAAUUGAUCUUUUAUUUUAUUGUAUUUCUUUCUUUAAUUUUUUAGAGACAUGCUCUCACUCUGUUGCCCAGGCUGGAGUGCAGUGGCACAAUAAUAGCAACCUUGAACUCCUGGGUUCAAUCUUCCUGCCUUAGCCUCCUAAGUAGCUGGGCCACCAAAUGAGCAUGCCAUUAUGGCCCAUUAAUUUUUAAAAAUUUUUUUGUAGAGACAAGUCUCACUAUGUUGCCUGGAGGAGUCCUGAACUCCUUAGCUCAAGUGAUCCUCAUGCCUCAGCCUUUUCCAAGUGCUGGGAUUACAGGCAUGAGCCACAACAUCCAACCUCUUUUAAGCCUUUUCCAGAGUUCUUGUCAAAGGCUCCAGGUUUUUCACACUUUACCCUCCAUUAGUAUCUCAAGAACCCUGUGGGGUGAAUAUGUGUGCAUAUUUGAAUGCAUGUAUGUGUAUACAUGUAUAUAUACAAGCACACAUGUAUGUGAAUCUAAUGUUAUCAGAGACAAUAGCGUAAGUAUAAAAGGGUGUUGGAAUCGAAAAUUUGGCCUAACCAUUUCAUUAGACUGCUUUCCUACAAAAUGCUUUCAUGAAAGUAGAGUGUAGUUAUGGUAAGCCAAUAAAUAGCAAUUUCUCCCUCUCAGCAAACAAGGAGAUGUUUAUUUGCCUGCCCUCUCAUACACACAUGACCUAAGAAUGCUUUCCUUGUGUAACUCUGUGUUGACCUUAUUUAUACAUACGAAAGAAAAUCUCUACUGGAGUCACUUAU